CCCUUAGAUGUUCUGGGCUGCACGCGCGCUACACUGAUGCACUCAACGAGUUUACGACCUUGCCCGAUAGGGUUGGGUAAUCUUUUUAAAAUGCAUCGUGAUGGGGAUAGGUUAUUGCAAUUAUUAAUCUUCAACGAGGAAUUCCUAGUAAGCGCGAGUCAUCAGCUCGUGCUGAUUACGUCCCUGCCCUUUGUACACACCGCCCGUCGCUCCUACCGAUUGAGUGCUCAGGUGAAUAAUUCGGACUGCAGCAAUGUUUGGAUCCCGAACGUUGCAGCGGAAAGUUUAGUGAACCUUAUCACUUAGAGGAAGGAGAAGUCGUAACA
rnacentral:rRNA from 1 species